rnacentral:miRNA from 1 species
UGAGGCAGGAGAAUCACUUGAACCCAGGAAGUGGAGGUUGCAGUGAGCCAAGAUCGUGCCACUGCACUCCAGCCUGGGCGACAGAGCAAGACUCCGAAUCUCA